CCUACGGGUGGCAGCAGUGAGGAAUAUUGGUCAAUGGGCGCGAGCCUGAACCAGCCAAGUCGCGUGAAGGAUGACUGCCCUACGGGUUGUACACUUCUUUUAUAAAGGAAUAAAGUGAGGCACGUGUGCCCUUUUGUAUGUACUUUAUGCAUAAGGAUCGGCUAACUCCGUGCCAGCAGCCGAGGUAAUACGGAGGAUCCGAGCGUUAUCCGGAUUUAUUGGGGUUAAAGGGAGCGUAGAUGGGUUGUUAAGUCAGGUGUGAAAGUUUGCGGCUCAACCGUAAAAUUGCAAUUGAUACUGGCAGCCUUGAGUACAGUUGAGGUAGGCGGAAUUCGUGGUGUAGCGGUGAAAUGCUUAGAUAUCACGAAGAACUCCGAUUGCGAAGGCAGCUUACUAAACUGCCACUGACAUUGAUGCUCGAAAGUGUGGGUAUCAAACAGGAUUAGAUACCCUAGUAGUC
rnacentral:rRNA from 1 species